UACAGAGGUCUCAAGCGUUGUUCGGAUUCAUUGGGCGUAAAGGGUGCGUAGGUGGCGUCGUAAGUCGGGUGUGAAAUUUCGGAGCUUAACUCCGAAACUGCAUUCGACACUGCCGGGCUGGAGUCCGGAAGAGGCGAGUGGAAUUCCUGGUGUAGCGGUGAAAUGCGCAGAUAUCAGGAGGAACACCAAUGGCGAAGGCAGCUCGCUGGGACGGUACUGACGCUGAGACGCGAAAGCGUGGGGAGCAAACAGG
rnacentral:rRNA from 1 species